GAUGAACGCUAGCGGCAGGCUUAACACAUGCAAGUCGAACGGUAACAUUGGUGCUUGCACCAGAUGACGAGUGGCGCACGGGUGCGUAACGCGUAUGCAAUCUACCUUUUACUGAAGAAUAGCCCAGAGAAAUUUGGAAUAAUCCUUCAUAACAUCAUUUAUCAGCAUUGAUUUAUGAUUAAAGCUCCGGCGGUAAAAGAUGAGCAUGCGUCCUAUUAGUUUGUUGGUGAGGUAACGGCUCACCAAGACUACGAUAGGUAGGGGCCCUGAGAGGGGGAUCCCCCACACUGGUACUGAGACACGGACCAGACUCCUACGGAGGCAGCAGUGAGGAAUAUUGGACAAUGGAGGCAACUCUGAUCCAGCCAUGCCGCGUGCAGGAUGACUGCCCUAUGGGUUGUAAACUGCUUUUAUAUAGGAAGAAACACUCCCACGUGUGGGGGCUUGACGGUACUAUAUGAAUAAGGAUCGGCUAACUCC
rnacentral:rRNA from 1 species